CUUUUAUGGAGAGUUUGAUCCUGGCUCAGGACGAACGCUGGCGGCGUGCCUAAUACAUGCAAGUCGAGCGAAUCUUUGGGAGCUUGCUCCUAAAGAUUAGCGGCGGACGGGUGAGUAACACGUGGGCAACCUACCUUACAGAUGGGGAUAACUCCGGGAAACCGGGGCUAAUACC
rnacentral:rRNA from 1 species